rnacentral:rRNA from 1 species
CUGAUUAUUUAUUAAAGGGCUGCAGUAUAUUGACUGUACAAAGGUAGCAUAAUCAAUAGUCUUUUAAUUGAAGACUUGUAUGAAGGAUUGGAUGAAAUAUAAACUGUCUCUUAUUUAAAUUAAAAAAUUAAUUUUUUAAUUAAAAAGUUAAAAUAUAUUUAAAAGACGAGAAGACCCUAUAGAGUUUUAUAAAUUUAUUAAUAAAAAUUUUUUAUAAAUAUAAUAAUUAAAAUUAAUAAAUUUAUUUUGUUGGGGUGAUAAAAAAAUAAAUGAAACUUUUAUUAUGAUUAACCAUAAAUAAUUGAGUAAAUGAUCCAAAAAUUUUGAUUAAAAGAAUAAAUUACCUUAGGGAUAACAGCGUAAUUUUUUUUUUUAGUUCACAUAAAAAAAAAAGUUUGCGACCUCGAUGUUGGAUUAAAAUAAAAUUUAUAUGCAAAAGUUUAAAAGUUUUGAUC